UACAGAGGUGGCAAGCGUUGUUCGGAAUUACUGGGCGUAAAAGGCGCGUAGGCGGUUCGUUAAGUCCUGUGUGAAAUCCCCCGGCUCAACUGGGGAACUGCACAGGAAACUAGCGGGCUUGAGUUCGGGAGAGGGAAGCGGAAUUCCGGGUGUAGCGGUGAAAUGCGUAGAUAUCCGGAGGAACACCGGUGGCGAAGGCGGCUUCCUGGACCGACACUGACGCUGAGGCGCGAAAGCUAGGGGAGCAAACGGG
rnacentral:rRNA from 1 species